rnacentral:rRNA from 1 species
UACGAAGGGGGCUAGCGUUGCUCGGAAUCACUGGGCGUAAAGCGCACGUAGGCGGGUCGUUAAGUCGGGGGUGAAAUCCUGGAGCUCAACUCCAGAACUGCCUUCGAUACUGGCGAUCUUGAGUCCGGGAGAGGGAUGCGGAAUUCCAGGUGUAGCGGUGAAAUGCGUAGAUAUCUGGAGGAACACCGGUGGCGAAGGCGGCAUCCUGGACCGGCAUUGACGCUGAGGAGCGAAAGCCAGGGGAGCAAACGGG